rnacentral:rRNA from 1 species
CAGCCGCCGCGGUAAUACGAAGGGUGCAAGCGUUACUCGGAAUUACUGGGCGUAAAGCGUGCGUAGGUGGUGGUUUAAGUCCGUUGUGAAAGCCCUGGGCUCAACCUGGGAAUUGCAGUGGAUACUGGGUCACUAGAGUGUGGUAGAGGAUAGUGGAAUUUCCGGUGUAGCAGUGAAAUGCGUAGAGAUCGGAAGGAACAUCUGUGGCGAAGGCGACUAUCUGGGCCAACACUGACACUGAGGCACAAAAGCGUGGGGAGCAAACAGGAUUAGAUACCCGAGUAGUCCCUGUCUCUUAUAC